GAACAGACUAAUUAUGAUACAAGAUACAAGUGAGCUGCGUUGGUCAAUGAACUCGAGGCGAUAUUGUGCGCGCCAGCUGCAAGCGAGCGCGCAAUAAGAAAGCCAAUGUGUUUAAUGAGUAAUGACGUAAUGACCAUAGCACACGUGUUUGAAAUUUGAAACGACGUUUUUUAACACACUUGCAAGAAAAAAGAACAAAACUGAUCAUGGUAUUGAAUAAGUGUUGCUAUUGCUUAGAAUUGCGCACAGGGUGCGCUAUAAUCUCGGUCAUAUACGUUAUAACAAGCUUGCCUCUUGCCUACGUAUACACAACACUCGACGAAUCAAUGGGAAGAAGAAAAUGAAAAAUUUAGAUGUUAUUUAAUAGUUUCGGUUGUAUUGGCACUUUGCAUACAUUUGUUUGAGGGCAUUUGGAUAAUUGCUUUCACACAUAAAUACGCUUACACUGUACCUCUCUUAGUUGUCCCGGCAGUUUAUGAUUUGUACGCUCUACUUGUGACGUACAGUUUUUUAAAGGAAAAGGAGUAACGUAAAUUUUUAAAAGGAAGAUAGUUUAUGAUUUGUAUGCUCUACUUGUGUCGUACAGUAAUUACAAGGAAGUACGUGACACACCACGUGCCCCGUAAUGAAGUUGUCGCAUUUUUUACACCAAAUCCGUAACUAUUAGUAUUUUCCUCAACU